GCUUACGGCCACACCUCCCUGAGCACGCCCGAUCUCGUCUGAUCUCGGAAGCUAAGCAGGGUCGGGCCGGUUAGUACUGUAUGGGAGUACGCCUGGGAAUAACAGGUGCUGUAAGCC
rnacentral:rRNA from 1 species